AGUACGUGCAUGUCGUUCGAAACAGCUUCGAAAUUAUCGUUUUCCCUUUUAGAAUUACUCAAAAUUUCCUUCAAACUUCCAUUAAAGAAUUUUCCUUUAUAAUUAUCAAAGGAAAACCGGUAUACCGAUAAUAUCGGUAUAAUUUUUUCGGUAUACCUAUACCGGAAAUUUCUCAUACCGAACAUUCCUACCUGAGUCCCAGCCUCCUGGAGUCUAAAUACGGCUAUUGAAUUUGGCCUUUUUCCAAACUGUCCAUUGUGCAUAGGAGCCUGGGACUCAGGAACUGCAGGUAGU